CACUAGUACUAGUGAGUGUUGUGUGUGUAAUCAGAUACCUCACUAGGACUAGUGAGUAUUGUGUGUGUAAUCAGGUACCUUAUUAGUACUAGUGAGUGUUGUGUGUGUAAUCAGAUACCUCACUAGGACUAGUGAGUGUUGUGUGUGUAAUCAGAUACCUCACUAGUACUAGUGAGUGUUGUGUGUGUAAUCAGAUACCUCACUAGGACUAGUGAGUAUUGUGUAUGUAAUCAGGAACCUCACUAGUACUAGUGAGUAUUGUGUGUGUAAUCAGGAACCUCACUAGGACCAGUGAGUGUUGUGUGUGUAAUCAGGUACCUCACUAGGACCAGUGAGUGUUGUGUGUGUAAUCAGAUACCUCACUAGGACUAGUGAGUAUUGUGUGUGUAAUCAGGAACCUCACUAGGACUAGUGAGUAUUGUGUGUGUAAUCAGGUACCUUAUUAGUACUAGUGAGUAUUGUGUGAAAUCAGGUACCUCACUACUAUUAGUGAGUUUUCUGUUUGUCUUGUCGUGUAUGUAGGUUCAUUUUGUACCUCAGGAGUACAAAGAGUCAUGAUAGAUUGUUUAUGAAAUAAAUUUUCAUACACAUGUA